rnacentral:rRNA from 1 species
AGUCGCACCGCUUCUUUCCUCCCGAGUGCUUGCACUCAAUUGGAAAGAGGAGUGGCGGACGGGUGAGUAACACGUGGGUAACCUACCCAUCACAGGGGGAUAACACUUGCAAACAGGUGCUAAUACCGCACAACAGUUUAUGCCGCAUGGCAUAAGAGUGAAAGGCGCUUUCGGGUGUCGCUGAUGGAUGGACCCGCGGUGCAUUACCUAGUUGGUGAGGUAACGGCUCACCAAGGCCACGAUGCAUAGCCUACCUGAGAGGGUGAUCGGCCACACUGGGACUGAGACACGGCCCAGACUCCUACGGGAGGCAGCAGUAGGGAAUCUUCGGCAAUGGACGAAAGUCUGACCGAGCAACGCCGCGUGAGUGAAGAAGGUUUUCGGAUCGUAAAACUCUGUUGUUAGAGAAGAACAAGGACGUUAGUAACUGAACGUCCCCUGACGGUAUCUAACCAGAAAGCCACGGCUAACUACGUGCCAGCAGCCGCGGUAAUACGUAGGUGGCAAGCGUUGUUCCGGAUUUAUUGGGCGUAAAGCGAGCCGCAGGCGGUUUCUUAAAGUCUGAUGUGAAAGCCCCCGGCUUCAACCGGGGGAGGGUCAUUGGGAAACUGGGGAGACUUGAGUGCAGAAAGAGGGAGAGGUGGGAAUUUCCAUUGUGUAGGCGGGUGAAAUUGCGUAGAUAUAU